GCUGGUUGCAGGGGUAUGCAACUGUAGUCCCAGCUGCUUGGGAGGCUGAGGCAGGAAGAUCACUUGAGCCCAGGAAUUCAGGGCCAAUCUGGCCAAUAUAGCAAGACCCCCAUCUG
rnacentral:sRNA from 1 species